CACCCGACCAAAUCUUAGUGGGAUCUAUUCACAAACCCAGAAAUUUAAAACAAAAACUAAAUCGAAAAUUUUAAACUUUAUUUUAAAAUCGAAAAAUCGACGAAGAGAUGUGUGAAAAAGAGAUCUGAAGCUUCAAAUAUGGAGACGUCGAUCGAGAUCUGAGACAAAACCACUGAAACUCAAGUCAGACAGAGAGAAGCUAGCCGCGCGCACGAGAUAAUUGCAAGGUCAGUUUGCGUUUUUUUCAAUAGUCAGCAGCUUACUUGGCCGUGUUUUGAACCCGAAGAGCAAUAGUUAUGGUAACAAAGAGAAGAGAAGAUCAAGGUCAGGAACGUAAGAAGGGUCUUGAUGGUGAUGUUGAUGCCAUCCAUGAAGAUCUAAUUUUUCCUACCUAAGAGAAACAGGAACAAUGAAAGCAGGCCUGAUGGAUAAGAAGUUGCUAUAGAUAUUUCAAAUGCCUUAAAUCGAGGAAAUUUAUUGGAGCUAGAAUCAACCUGGGAUGCUGACGAGAUCUGCGAGACAAUUCAGUUACUGUUGCACCACAAAAAUAAUACAACAAACUGUCGGUUUGCAUUUACAAGCCAAGAAUCAGAAACCUAGUUGGCGUGUUACGCCCAAAGUCAUGAUUUUGUACUUGAAGCAGUACUUUGGAAAGAAGAAGCUUAUUUAGAUCAUGAAUUAGUUUCUUGUUGAAGAUUACUAGAUCCAAACUUCCUCUGCAUGCUUUCUUUCUCUUACUCUCUUUGGAACUGUUAGUGUAAAUAUUUUCUUCACUUAGUUAACUUGUAAUUUGUCACUUUCUACUUAGACUUUAUAACUUGACUCUAAUUAUAAGAAUCUGAACUAAAAUUCUCUUUGAUAAAAUAAAAAUAAAUUUCUUUGGAAUUUUUUACUUUUUCUAAGGAUGACUGCAAUCGAAUAAAUGUAAGAGUUGUGUUACUCGUGUGUAUCAAAUUGCAAACUUGGUCUAGAUCUUAAUCUAGUAGAGCGUAUACCAUACUGAACAUUCAUCAGAGUUGUACUCUAACUUGAGAGAAACAGAGGACUCCUGUUGGUGUGAAGUCGAAUAGUAUAAACAGAGAGGACUGUGUAAAACAAAAAAAUAAGAAAAAAAUCUGGAGAAAUAAACCCUUUUGUACACGUACGAAUUCAAAAUAAACAUUAUUGUAUUAUUUGUAAUAGAAGAGCCUUUUAUAUAAUUUAUCUGACAACAUUGAUGAAGCUAAGGAGAUUUCUUCGGAUGCAAGAAUUUUGUAACUUUUUCUCUUUUGCAAAAAUGAAACAGAAAGGGCGGAAGCUAAAUUGUUAUACUUA